AGAGUUUGAUCAUGGCUCAGGAUGAACGCUAGCUACAGGCUUAACACAUGCAAGUCGAGGGGAAACGAUAUUGGAAGCUUGCUUCCGAUAGGCGUCGACCGGCGUACGGGUGAGUAACGCGUAUCCAACCUGCCCACCACUUGGGGAUAACCUUGCGAAAGUAAGACUAAUACCCAAUGACGUCUCUAGAAGACAUCUGAAAGAGAUUAAAGAUUUAUCGGUGAUGGAUGGGGAUGCGUCUGAUUAGCUUGUUGGCGGGGUAACGGCCCACCAAGGCGACGAUCAGUAGGGGUUCUGAGAGGAAGGUCCCCCACAUUGGAACUGAGACACGGUCCAAACUCCUACGGGAGCAGCA
rnacentral:rRNA from 1 species